rnacentral:rRNA from 1 species
AGGGCACCACCAGGAGUGGAGCCUGCGGCUUAAUUUGACUCAACACGGGAAAACUCACCCGGCCCGGACACUGGAAGGAUUGACAGAUUGAGAGCUCUUUCUUGAUUCAGUGGGUGGUGGUGCAUGGCCGUUCUUAGUUGGUGGAGUGAUUUGUCUGGUUAAUUCCGAUAACGAACGAGACUCUAGCCUACUAAAUAGAUCGUCGGCUUACAAACGCCGGCGAGACUUCUUAGAGGGACAGGCGGUGAUUCAACCGCACGAAACAGAGCAAUAACAGGUCUGUGAUGCCCUUAGAUGUCCGGGGCCGCACGCGCGCUACACUGAAGUGAUCAGCGUGCUUUUUCAACCUACUCUGUCAAGAGUGGGGAACCCAAUGAACCUUCUUCGUGAUUGGGAUAGGGGAUUGUAAUUAUUCCCCUUGAACGAGGAAUUCCCAGUAAGCGCGAGUCAUUAGCUUGCGUUGAUUACGUCCCUGCCCUUUGUACACACCGCCCGUCGCUACUACCGAUUGAAUGAUAG